UUCUCCAAUCAUCAGAAAAGAAGUUUUAAAAAGAAAAUGAUUUCAAAUCGUCAAUGGAUGUACAAAAGGUUAACUAAAGGUCUGGAUAAUCCAAAAUUCAUACGGGGCGCAGAGCAAUUUAUUGAGUUCAAAAUAAAUCACCCGCAAUACAAAGUUGUAGAUAUCAACCAUAGAAGGAAAUUUAAAAGAGUAUGAACUUAAGAGACGAGGAUGAUGAUUUAGACGAUGAGGUAGAAUUUCAUGACAAAUCUAGAUUAAAUAUGGAUUAAGAUGAUGAUAAUGAGGCAUAUUAUGCAAGUGCAGUAGAGUUAAAGUGCUCUAAUCUCUUCAAAUAGAAGAGUUAAACAUAGUCUAUAAGUUGUUUUAACUAUUGAAUUUUAUAUUUCUUACUGACAAAGUUCUAUUUUAGAUCUCGUCGAUUUUACAUUUCUUUGUGACCAAUUUAAGUAUUUGUAUUUAAUAGUUUGUUUGUUUGAACGAUUGUCCCUUGCUCUUAUUUUUAUGAGAGAAGUAGCUGAUUCUGGAACUACAUGAAGCGCAAACAUAUCCCGGUAUCUAUUUGGGAAAGCUACAAGCCUCACUGGAGACGGAGGAAUUUAAAGCCAAAUCCGCACAAUGUUCAAAAAAUCGACUAAGCGAGAAAGGUGGCAAAGGAUCUGGCCCCUCACGCCAUACGGGAGGCUCCAGAACUCACCGAGAACAUGCAAAACUACUGGCCAAACAACUAGGAAGACCACCUCAUCCACAUGAGCUUCUAAAGAAGACACAUCUCAAGGCUAACAAUGAGUUUGUGGACCAGAAGUCUAAAAGCACAUAUUUGGCGGGGCUAAGAAGACGCGUAUUUAUGGUCUUGGUUUUCUCAAGCACCGUGUUGGUGCAUCAUCCUCUUCAACAUCUCAACCUCUAGAUCUAGACUUUGAUGCUUGGGUGACUGAAUGUGUCGGACAACGUAUGCAAGAAAUGAAGGAAGAGAUGAAGAAUGAGACGAGAGCAGAGAUUAGACAAGAAAUGGGAGAAGAAAUGCGACAAGAAUUGCGUGAAGAAAUGAGACAUGAAGUGCAACAAGUGGUGCAAGAGCAAGUUUGAUCAAAUACUCCAAGCACUCAUGUCGCUCAUCCUAGGUGGCUUACCUACACCUCCUUCUCGUAGACGUGACUCGUCGUCAAAUAAUGACAAGAGUCUUAUUUAGAUUUAUUUUAGAGUCUUUUACGUUAGAUACAUUUUGGAUUGUUUAUUAACUUUAUGAUGGAUGUUAUUGUUUAUAAAAUAGCUACUGUUUUUUGUUUUA